UACGAAGGGUGCAAGCGUUAAUCGGAAUUACUGGGCGUAAAGGGUGCGUAGGCGGUUCGUUAAGUCUGUCGUGAAAUCCCCGGGCUCAACCUGGGAAUGGCGAUGGAUACUGGCGAGCUAGAGUGUGUCAGAGGAUGGUGGAAUUCCCGGUGUAGCGGUGAAAUGCGUAGAGAUCGGGAGGAACAUCAGUGGCGAAGGCGGCCAUCUGGGACAACACUGACGCUGAAGCACGAAAGCCAGGGGAGCAAACGGG
rnacentral:rRNA from 1 species